UGGUGGGUAGUUUGACUGGGGCGGUCUCCUCCUAAAGAGUAACGGAGGAGCACGAAGGUUGGCUAAUCCUGGUCGGACAUCAGGAGGUUAGUGCAAUGGCAUAAGCCAGCUUGACUGCGAGCGUGACGGCGCGAGCAGGUGCGAAAGCAGGUCAUAGUGAUCCGGUGGUUCUGAAUGGAAGGGCCAUCGCUCAACGGAUAAAAGGUACUCCGGGGAUAACAGGCUGAUACCGCCCAAGAGUUCAUAUCGACGGCGGUGUUUGGCACCUCGAUGUCGGCUCAUCACAUCCUGGGGCUGAAGUAGGUCCCAAGGGUAUGGCUGUUCGCCAUUUAAAGUGGUACGCGAGCUGGGUUUAGAACGUCGUGAGACAGUUCGGUCCCUAUCUGCCGUGGGCGCUGGAGAACUGAGGGGGGCUGCUCCUAGUACGAGAGGACCGGAGUGGACGCAUCACUGGUGUUCGGGUUGUCAUGCCAAUGGCACUGCCCGGUAGCUAAAUGCGGAAGAGAUAAGUGCUGAAAGCAUCUAAGCACGAAACUUGCCCCGAGAUGAGUUCUCCCUGACUCCUUGAGAGUCCUGAAGGAACGUUGAAGACGACGACGUUGAUAGGCCGGGUGUGUAAGCGCAGCGAUGCGUUGA
rnacentral:rRNA from 1 species